UACGGGGGGGGCAAGCGUUGUUCGGAAUUACUGGGCGUAAAGGGUGCGUAGGCGGCUGUCUAAGCAGGGUGUGAAAGCCCCCGGCUCAACCGGGGAAUUGCGUUCUGAACUGGACGGCUGGAGUGGGAUAGGGGUGUGUGGAACUUCCGGUGGAGCGGUGAAAUGUGUUGAUAUCGGAAGGAACGCCGGUGGCGAAAGCGACACACUGGGUCUCAACUGACGCUGAGGCACGAAAGCCAGGGGAGCGAACGGG
rnacentral:rRNA from 1 species